rnacentral:rRNA from 1 species
AGCAGUAGGGAAUCUUCCGCAAUGGACGAAAGUCUGACGGAGCAACGCCGCGUGAGUGAUGAAGGCUUUCGGGUCGUAAAACUCUGUUGUUAGGGAAGAACAAGUGCUAGUUGAAUAAGCUGGCACCUUGACGGUACCUAACCAGAAAGCCACGGCUAACUACGUGCCAGCAGCCGCGGUAAUACGUAGGUGGCAAGCGUUAUCCGGAAUUAUUGGGCGUAAAGCGCGCGCAGGUGGUUUCUUAAGUCUGAUGUGAAAGCCCACGGCUCAACCGUGGAGGGUCAUUGGAAACUGGGAGACUUGAGUGCAGAAGAGGAAAGUGGAAUUCCAUGUGUAGCGGUGAAAUGCGUAGAGAUAUGGAGGAACACCAGUGGCGAAGGCGACUUUCUGGUCUGUAACUGACACUG